AUUGAACGCUGGCGGCAUGCCUUACACAUGCAAGUCGAACGGUAACGCGGGGCAACCUGGCGACGAGUGGCGAACGGGUGAGUAAUGCAUCGGAACGUGACCCGUAGUGGGGGAUAGCACGGGGAAAGCCGGCUUAAUACCGCAUACGACCCAAGGGAGAAAGCGGGGGAUCGCAAGACCUCGCGCGAUUGGAGCGGCCGAGGUCAGAUUAGGUAGUUGGUGGGGUAAAGGCCCACCAAGACUACGAUCUGUAGCUGGUCUGAGAGGACGACCAGCCACACUGGGACAGGUACACGGCCCAGACUCCUACGGGAGGCAGCAGUGGGGAAUUUUGGACAAUGGGCGAAAGCCUGAUCCAGCCAUGCCGCGUGCGGGAAGAAGGCCUUCGGGUUGUAAACCGCUUUUGUCAGGGAAGAAAUCUUUCGGGCUAAUACUCCGAAGGGAUGACGGUACCUGAAGAAUAAGCACCGGCUAACUACGUGCCAGCCGCCGCCGUAAAAC
rnacentral:rRNA from 1 species